rnacentral:rRNA from 1 species
CCUACGGGAGGCUGCAGUGAGGAAUAUUGGUCAAUGGCCGAGAGGCUGAACCAGCCAAGUCGCGUGAGGGAAGACGGCCCUACGGGUUGUAAACCUCUUUUGUCGGGGAGCAAAGCGAGUCACGUGUGACUCAUUGAGAGUACCCGAAGAAAAAGCAUCGGCUAACUCCGUGCCAGCAGCCGCGGUAAUACGGAGGAUGCGAGCGUUAUCCGGAUUUAAUGGGUUUAAAGGGUGCGCAGGCGGGGGUGCAAGUCAGCGGUCAAAGUUGGGGGGUCAACCCCGGAACUGCGUUGGAAACUGGGAGCCUUGAGUGCAGGAGAGGUAUGCGGAAUGCGUGGUGUAGCGGUGAAAUGCGUAGAUAUCACGAAGAACACC